rnacentral:rRNA from 1 species
GACGAACGCUGGCGGCGUGCUUAACACAUGCAAGUCGAACGGAAAGGCCCUGCUUGCAGGGUACUCGAGUGGCGAACGGGUGAGUAACACGUGGGUGAUCUGCCCUGCACUUCGGGAUAAGCCUGGGAAACUGGGUCUAAUACCGGAUAGGAGCCAUUUUUAGUGUGAUGGUUGGAAAGUUUUUUCGGUGUAGGAUGAGCUCGCGGCCUAUCAGCUUGUUGGUGGGGUAAUGGCCUACCAAGGCGGCGACGGGUAGCCGGCCUGAGAGGGUGGACGGCCACAUUGGGACUGAGAUACGGCCCAGACUCCUACGGGAGGCAGCAGUGGGGAAUAUUGCACAAUGGGCGCAAGCCUGAUGCAGCGACGCCGCGUGGGGGAUGACGGCCUUCGGGUUGUAAACUCCUUUCGCUAGGGACGAAGCUUUUUGUGACGGUACCUAGAUAAGAAGCACCGGCUAACAACGUG